UGGGGAAUAUUGCACAAUGGGCGCAAGCCUGAUGCAGCCAUGCCGCGUGUGUGAAGAAGGCCUUCGGGUUGUAAAGCACUUUCAGCGAGGAGGAAGGUGGUGAACUUAAUACGUUCAUCAAUUGACGUUACUCGCAGAAGAAGCACCGGCUAACUCCGUGCCAGCAGCCGCGGUAAUACGGAGGGUGCAAGCGUUAAUCGGAAUUACUGGGCGUAAAGCGCACGCAGGCGGUUUGUUAAGUCAGAUGUGAAAUCCCCGGGCUCAACCUGGGAACUGCAUUUGAAACUGGCAAGCUAGAGUCUCGUAGAGGGGGGUAGAAUUCCAGGUGUAGCGGUGAAAUGCGUAGAGAUCUGGAGGAAUACCGGUGGCGAAGGCGGCCCCCUGGACGAAGACUGACGCUCAGGUGCGAAAGCGUGGGGAGCAAACAGGAUUAGAUACCCCUGGUAGUCCACGCUGUAAACGAUGUCGAUUUUGGAGGUUGUGCCCUUGAGGCGUGGCUUCCGGAGCUAACGCGUUAAAUCGACCGCCUGGGGAGUACGGCC
rnacentral:rRNA from 1 species